GAUUUCAAUUAAAAAAGUCAUCAACAACAAAGUUGAAUAACUCAUCAAGAUCUAAAACUUUUAUUUUUGUUAUUUCUUCAUCCGAUGAAAUGUUAGAAAUAUUAUUCACAAAUUUUACAUAUAUGUGUUAUAAGUUUAUAAAACUAGACAAGAGAUAUGUCAAUUUUGUGAACAAUAUUACUAUCGCUUUGUCGUAUGAAGAAAUGACCAAAAUAAAAGUUUUAGAUCUCGAUGAGUUAUUCAACUUUUGUUGUUGAUGAUUUUUUCAGCUGAUAUC
rnacentral:pre_miRNA from 1 species